UAGUCAACUCCUAUAGUAGUUUAUAGUUAUUCGCUAGUAACUGCGCACAUACAUAUUUAUGUUUGCUUGGGCGUCAAGCGCAAGCCGGUAGUCAGUCAACACGAGCCGUGCUGAAUAUUAUAUCAGCGCAAAUGGCAGCGUCUUCGAGUUAGUCAUCGGGUUGAUUUUGCAGGUUAGUUGCUGUGUUCGUGCGUAUAUUUUUGGGUUCGCUUUGGACGAACUGGUAUUGAAUUUUGGCAAAGUGAAAGUCUUGAAGAACAAACACUCCUCGCCCCUAUGUGAAUCCGCUACUGAUGUAAAAAUAUCAUAGUUACCUAUUUGUAUGUAACGGGCGAUCCAAGUAGAGGUACUUUUUCAAUAUCCUUUUUUUUUGAUCACGCGUGAGUCGUGUCGAGCUUCAGCAUUAUUUGGCAUUUCAUCAUGGAAAAACUUAUGCCUAAACAACCUUUACAUUUCAUUCAAUUUUAUUACGAAAAUUCAUAAUAUUCGACCGAAUAGACCACGUCCAGCACGCAGUCGUAGCUGAGAGUGUACACGACGACUGUGGCGGUUUGGCGCAUUUAAUGUUGAGGUCUAAAAUUGAAAGCAUACAAAAUAAAGCUUGUGCAAGAACUCAGGCCGCUCGACCUUCCCAAGCGACAUGAUUUCAUUCUAUGGCCUCUUGGAAAGUUCUACGAAGAAUCGACGUUUUCGAACCAAAUUUUCUAACUCAAUGGGUGUGUAAGCAAGUGAAAUUGUCGCAUUAGGGACAAAGGGCAACUCGAAGAGAUUCAAGAGCUGCCAUUUCAUCCAGAAAAAAAACGGACCGGUGGCGACCGUUACCGCGACCACCGCGUACCGACUAUUUGAUGCCUGAAGUCGAAGUUUGUGAUCUCGGCGACAUUUGCUUUCAACAAGACGGCGCCACUUCUCACACAUCGCAUAAAAAAAUGGAUUUAUUCAAAGAACAUUUCGGUGAGUAGAUAAUUUCACGUUUUUCAAGACUAAAGUCUAUGCAGACAAUCCAACUUCGAUUCAAGCCUUGGAUCAAAACACGCAUGUUAUUCGCCAGUUAUCAGUCGAAAUGUUCGAACGAGUCAUUGAAAAUUGGACUCAGCGGAUGGACUAUCUGAGACGUAGUCGCGUCAAACAUUUCGAAGAGAUAAUCUUCAAAAAAAUAAAUGCUAUAUAUGCGAUUGUUACACCGGCUCCUAAAAAUCUUUCUCAUACUAUCUCGGGGGUAAAAAUUAAUGUCCUACCCAUAUUCAGUAAUUGAUUUAACAGUACUGUUAUAUGACUGACGGACGUGUGGACAGACGGACGGACGAAUAGACGGACAAUAUUCGGAAUUCAAGCCGUCUCGUCAUCCUGGUAUAUUUGCGAAAAACAUCCGCAAUUCACGACUACACAAGCCAAUAAUUUUCUAUCAUGACAGCGAUUGGCCUCAUGUUACAAGACCAGUUACACAGCAGGUUUUUGAAGUUUUGCCCACUUUAUAACCCAGAGCCUGCCUCUUUUGCCAUUCGUUGCAUAAAGCCCUCGCUUGAAUACGGUUCACAUUGAAACGAGUUAUUAAACACCCAGCUGGCGUAGUGUUUUUGGGAUGGAAUACACAAAAUGCCAGAAAUAUGAGAAAAUGUUAUAGCCGCAGAUAGGCAAUACUUCGAAUAAUGCUAUUGUACACACAUGCUUUUCUGAAAUAAACUUUCAAAUUUUGAGAA